UACAGAGGGCCCAAGCGUUGUUCGGAUUCAUUGGGCGUAAAGGGUGCGUAGGCGGCGCGGUAAGUCGGGGGUGAAAUCUCGGGGCUUAACUCCGAAACUGCAUUCGAUACUGCCGUGCUUGAGGACUGGAGAGGAGACUGGAAUUUACGGUGUAGCGGUGAAAUGCGUAGAUAUCGGAAGGAAGACCAGUGGCGAAGGCGGGUCUCUGGACAGUUCCUGACGCUGAGGCACGAAGGCCAGGGGAGCAAACGGG
rnacentral:rRNA from 1 species